UCAUGUUACUAAAUUGCCACAUUUAAGUAGAAUUUGUUUUUUCAAUGUAGAUAAAAAGUCAGAUAAAAUCUAUAUGACUAAAGCUAUUGUAUGGGACAGUAUCUGACUGGCCUGAGGUAAGAGUUUUUGCUGUUUAUAGCUGUAUAUGCCAAUUAGAAUCUCAUUGGUUGAACAAAAAACUGUCAGAAGCAGAAUUCACACAUUCACCAUCAUGUGUGAAGACUAUUGUUUGGUAUUGCUGCUUAUGCAUUUGUGAACACUUCACAUGUUCAAUUUGUGAGGAAGUGACACCCUUUCUCACUGCAGUGCACACUUCUACUGUAGCUUCAGUGAUCAGAUGAGACCAUGAGGCUGUUUGGACUGUAUUUCUCUGCUGUCUGGAUAUUGUGCUGCUGCUAUCUUGGCUGUGGCGGAGGUCAGUAAAUUUUCUGAAUUGUUUAUCAGUUUUACAUUUAUCUUAUUGGACCAUUUAAAGUGUGCAAAGUAUGAAAGUCUUGUCCUUUUCUAAUCUUUCACACAGGUCAAGGUGUGUGCAGUAAAGGGAAGCUUGUUAAAAGAAUCAAUUUAACCACAGAACUGCAUUCUGAAAUUCUGCUGCCGUGCCUUUUUGAACAAGCUCUCACUGGAUCAAACCUGACCAUGAAUCCAGAAGCUGUGUGGACUCAGAUAAAUGAAACCAUUGACCACAUUGUAGAGAUCAAAGUAAAUAAUCCUAUAAAUUUCUGGAAUAGCAGAAACAAUAGAAUUAAGGUAUCCCGUGCUGCUGCUGCCUCUGGAAACUUCUCCAUCCUGAUUAGAGAUGUGCAGCUGUCUGAUCUGGGUCUUUACCGCUGUGAACUCUACAGAGAUAACUGUUCUCUGGGCUAUAAAGAGAUAGAAAUCAGUCUGGCUGCUGUUGAAUUUUCACUGCUCAAUAACUGGCAGCUCAUAGUUGCAGGAGGAGGAGGAGGAUUUCUGCUUCUCUGUCUGAUCACUGUGUGUGUUUACUAUACAUGGACAAAACGACAAACAGUCGAUGGAUCAGUCAACCACACAUCACACAAUAGCCCUGACAGUGAAGGACAAAAAAAUGAUGAAAUAACCUAUGCGUCAGUUGUUCUUAAGGCACCCAAUUGCCAUGACAGUGAAGGACAAAAAAAUGAUGAAAUAACCUAUGCAUCAGUUGAUUUUAAAUCACACAACUGCCAUGACAGUGAAGUUCUUCUGAAUAACAACCCUAUAAAUAGCUCUGCAUCAGAAGACAUUGUCUGCCCAGAGACGGUCAUUUACUCUACCAUCAAGCAAGGAGAGAGAAGAUGAGCAAGCAAUGUGACAGGGCCACACAUGCAACAAUAAGACAGGAUAAACAGUAUAUCUUACAGUAUAAAGAUACUUCAGGCCAAGAUGCUUACAGGAAACUAGAGUGGAAAUUCCCAUAUCCAUGAGCUUCUUCACAAAUAAGCUACAGAUUCUGUUUUGUCACAUAGUGUGAAAAUGUUUUGUGUGAAAAUACACGAAAUUAAGCUCAAUGACGUGUACGUUACAAUUAUUUAAAUUUUUUAAGUAGGCCUACAUUAGAUUUACAGUAGACCUGAUUUGAAAGAACAAUUGCUCAAUCAUUCAAUUCAGAGGCGUUAUGCCCAUUCCACUCGAGCCAAGUGGAUUUUGAAUUCAGCUUACAAAACACAACAACAACAAACUGCAGAUUAAUAUAUUUUUUUAAAUAUUUGAUACGAUAUGUUUGAUUAGAACGUUCAGUGCGUCACGUCACCAGCUGCUAAAUUCAAAUCUGUGUUCGCUGGCUGCCGCUGAGACAGACGCUCUGCGCAUUAUAACCAAUCACACACGAGUCUGAGCUUAUACGCAAUAGCCAAUCAGAAGCAUUCAGAUGAGUCAUCGCUGAAACUCCUGUUUUGUUCAGUGUGUGCGCUCACUUACUGAAUUCUCUUAUUAGAAGCAACAAAGUGUAGAUGUGCAAACGAUGUAAGUAACAUAUGCAAUUCCAAAUGUAAACAGCUUCAGUGAUUAUGAUGGGAGUUUUUGAGAGUGCUUGUACUCUGGCUAGACUGAAGUUCUGAUAAUGAAAUCGUGAUCAUUUUCUUUGAUAAUGUAGCCUAAAUGUUCUUUGCUAUCUUUCUGUACAAUUAAAGUGUUCUAAUUAGUAACUUAAAAUGUUUUUAUUAAAUUCACUUUAAAUACAAUGUCGGUCGGAUUAAAAAUAUUUUAUGGCAUGACACCAUGUGGUAGUUGAGUAAAAAGACUGAUGUUAUGUGUAGUUAAUAUAUCCAGUGGCGUUUCGUCUAUAUAAGCUGUGAAUGCUCUGCAUACCCAGGACAUUUGAGAGAAUAAGUUCACGGGAUAAUUCAUAUAAACAUGAUUAUAUAAUGAAAAUGUACAGGACAAAUUAAAAUAUUUAUUUAAAAUAUAUAUAUAUUUUUUUAAGAAUUAAAAAUAAUCAGAUUUUGAGUAAUGAACACAUUGCAACCAAGCUUGGGAUGGCCCACAUAAAUGAGCAAAAAUGUUUUACAUUUCUUAAAAUAACACCUUUUGAACAUUAAACACUGACUUUCAGACUUUAUGAAGCUCCAUUCCCGCAUCCGUGUCCGCGCCCACCCUCGCCUCAUGUUUGCAGUCGACUGCAAAUGAUCAUAAUUGAUGGACAACUAUGCCCGGGGGAAAAAAAACAUAAGCAGCCUGGCGCAGAGAAAAGAAAAGUAAAAAAGCUCAAGAUGAAGCCCGUGCAUCACUUUCAGUUAGGCUACGUUAAUAAUCCUGUGAAACUUUUUUGGCUGUUGACGUUCAUAACGUUUAUUAACGUUAAUUAAUGUUUUAAUUAUCGUAUGAUAAGCUUAUUGAUGACUUAGCCUCCAAGUGUGCUUUUGUAAAUUUUGAAAUUCGGAAUGCUUCAGCAGAUGACGUAUAUCAGUGUUGAUUUUCGGAGUGUCUAUACACACUAAGUGCAAAUCGCCCACCUUGUUGGCAGAAGCUAUUUACACUAACUCCGCCCACCUACGUGUGAUUGGUAUAGUCAACACUACAAAAGACUAAUAGCAAACAAUAUUGACGCGAUCCACCCGAGGAUAUAAGGAAAUAACCUGUUUUUAUACAGUCUAUGGAAAUAACCGACAGGUUGAAAAUAAAGUAUCGGGUAGGGUAAGGGUAGGUGUAGGG
ensembl:lncRNA